AUGACAGUAGGAAAGCAACUCCUUUGUGGUGGCUGGCUUUAAAAGGCUUUCACGUUGCAAUGGCAGCAGUGUAAAGCAAUCCCAUCUUUAGAAAGUAGAGUUGUAAAGCAAUCCCAUUGUGCUUUAGUAGAAAGUAGAGUUUGUAAAAAUUUGGCAGCAGCAGUGUAAAGCAAUCCCAUCUUUAGAAAGUAGAGUUGUAAAGCAAUCCCAUUCUGCUUUAGUAGAAAGUAGAGUUUGUAAAAAUUUCACGGGGAUUGUUUGACAUGUGCUGUGCUUUCAGGUUUGGGAAUAGUUUAUUGUUUGCAGAUCUCAAUGUAGGUGUUGGUGUUGAUGGAUGAGAUGAGAUCCAGCCAGCCGUUUUGGGGGUGUAUAAUAACAAUCAAGCUGCUGUCUUUUGACUAGGCAGACAGGGUUUUUGUUGACAGCCAGUGAUUCACUGCGUACCCCGUAUAACUAUGAUGUGUGUGGGGAGCAUUCUACAACGAGUAAUGCUACACGUACUUUCAUUUUUUACUCCCUAUCUAUCUGGCGUGUUUUGAUUCAUCGAAAAAAAAAGAAAGAGUGGCUCACAGUUUUUAUUACUCUCUUUCUCUUUUGUUAAUAAAAUUAUGACACGUGGCGAGAGUUUUACUUCCUAGGAGACUAUAUAUCAUUUUCCUUCUAGAAAUGCUGCAGCUCUGCCUAUCAAAGAACCCUCAUUUUCCUUCUUACACAAGGGCGAUUGGUUGGAAUGAGGGAAUUAGGGGAAGGAAUUGUAAUUUUGUGGGUUGGAAUGAGGGAAUUAGGGAGAAGAAAUUGUAAUUUUGUGGGAAAAUAAUAAUAAAAAGGAAGAAGGAACAAGAGCAAAUUUGUUCACACAAUGCUUUUUUCCUUCCCAUCUUCCAAUGAAUUUCAAUUCCUAGGGGAGGCUUGGUUAGGAAUUUCAAUUCUAUGGUUGGAGAGAAUUGUAAUUCUCUUUAACCGAAUAAUGGAAUUUUAGUUGCUAGAAAAUAAGGUGAGAAAAGAAAAUAAUAUGCAUUGGGUAAUAGUGAAAAUAUGAUACCCGAUAAUGUAUAUAUUUAGGUUGUGUUUGGUUCA